rnacentral:rRNA from 1 species
CCUACGGGAGGCAGCAGUGAGGAAUAUUGGUCAAUGGACGCAAGUCUGAACCAGCCAUGCCGCGUGCAGGAAGACGGCUCUAUGAGUUGUAAACUGCUUUUGUACGAGGGUAAAGGCAGAUACGCGUAUCUGUCUGAAAGUACCGUACGAAUAAGCAUCGGCUAACUCCGUGCCAGCAGCCGCGGUAAUACGGAGGAUGCAAGCGUUAUCCGGAUUUAUUGGGUUUAAAGGGUGCGUAGGCGGUCUGAUAAGUCAGCGGUGAAAGCCCGGGGCUCAACCUCGGAAUUGCCUUUGAAACUGGUAGACUUGAGUGUGGUUGCGGUAGGCGGAAUGCGUGGUGUAGCGGUGAAAUGCAUAGAUAUCACGCAGAACACCGAUUGCGAAGGCAGCUUACCAAGCCACAACUGACGCUGAGGCACGAAAGCGUGGGGAGCAAACAGGAUUAGAUACCCCAGUAGUC